UACAAAAACUUUAGUCGGUAUUGAUUAUUAUUUGGCGACAAAUAUAAGUUUGGUCGCUAAAGGUAGAAACAAAUUUUUUUUUUUUAGAGGGAAGCGAAUAUAUUGGCGCCCGUGCUCCUCUUUCAAAGAAACAAAAGAUCUCUGCUCUCUCACUCACACACAACUCUCUCACACACAGAACAGUCACCACCGAACCUCACCCCCGCUCGCCAUUGACGUUCACCACCCCACCGUCGCUGGCCAGCAUCGUACAUCGCACCACCAUUGCUACGAAUCACCACCGCCACUGCCACAAAUCACAGGCAUGUGGAUGACACAGGAAGAGGCAUUUGCUGCAUCUGAAACUUCUUCAAAUUCAACUAAAAAAAAGCCCAGAUGGCUUUGUUGCGUGGACUUGUGGAUAAUCCAUAUUGGUGUAUGGAGAAGAAUUUUUACUUUUGUAUAGAACUAAUAUAAUACUUUUGUCGUCCUCAGCUUUUGUGUAGUUCAUUAUUACUGAUAUAGAAAACUUUUGGCAAGCAAUAGAUAAUGACUGUCGUGGUACAUAGAUCACCUUCUGUCGUGGUACAUAUAUACCAUUUGUCGGCGUACAUAUAGGACGUUUUGUCAUGGUCCAUAGAAAACUUUUGUCGUGGUAUAUAUAUCACCUUUUGUUGUGGUACAGAUUACGAUGGUAAUUUGUACCAUGCAAAAUGGUAAUUUCGUUUGGUAGUAAAUGUACUUUUUGUAUACGGAGGGCUUUGAUUUUUGUAUGAUAUAUUUUGUAUGGAAUUAUUAUUUUAGUUUGGACAAUAGUUGAUUUGUAUGGACUUUGAUAUUUAAAGUUAUUUAUUUUUUGUAUA